AAAAAUAAGUUUUCUUCUUUGAAUUCUUUUACAAAAAUUGUAACAAUGGAACAGAUAUGAGAGAAGGAAUUGUGCAGCAUUUCUAUUGAAUUUUGGACAGCACAUCGUUUGAACUUUACACAGCAAAAACAUCAAAUAUUGACAGCGAAACAAAGAAAUUUUCACUAUCCGCAAAUUCAUCUAAAUCUGAUUUGUCACCAACCCCAGACGGCACCUCAAACAAAGUAUCUUGCUCUUCCUCGUCCUCCUCCUCAUCCUCUUCCACAUCUUCAUGAUCCUCCUUCACUUGCUUAUCACGCUCCAUUGCCUAGCACACAACAACAACACACACAUGAGCUUGGACACACAUAUAUUUGACUUUUGGAUAGCAAAAACAGCACACACAUGAGCUUGCACAAACAUAUAUUUGAGAUUUGGACACCAAAAAAAGAACACACAUGAGCUUGCACAAACAUAUAUUUCACAUUUGGAUACCAAAAACAGCACAUCUGAGCUUGGGCACACAUAAAUUUUACUUUCAAAAAGCAAAAACAGCACAUACAUGAGCUUGCACAAAUAUAUAUUUUGCACGCACAUACCUGGGAAGAUGUAGCCUCCCUCUCAUAGUCGUUUGCGGAGCCAGAGGCAGCGGCGAUUCCGGCACGCACGCCAG
rnacentral:lncRNA from 1 species